UGAGUAACCUGCCCUUGACUCUGGGAUAAGCCUGGGAAACCGGGUCUAAUACCGGAUAUGACUGCCGGCCGCAUGGCCUGGUGGUGGAAAGCUUUAUUGCGGUUUUGGAUGGACUCGCGGCCUAUCAGCUUGUUGGCGGGGUAAUGGCCCACCAAGGCGACGACGGGUAGCCGGCCUGAGAGGGUGACCGGCCACACUGGGACUGAGACACGGCCCAAACUCCGUACGGGAGCAG
rnacentral:rRNA from 1 species